AUCCUGGCUCAGGAUGAACGCUAGCGGCAGGCUUAACACAUGCAAGUCGAGGGGUAUAUGUCUUCGGAUAUAGAGACCGGCGCACGGGUGCGUAACGCGUAUGCAAUCUACCUUUUACAGAGGGAUAGCCCAGAGAAAUUUGGAUUAAUACCUCAUAGUAUAGUGACUCGGCAUCGAGAUACUAUUAAAGUCACAACGGUAAAAGAUGAGCAUGCGUCCCAUUAGCUAGUUGGUAAGGUAACGGCUUACCAAGGCUACGAUGGGUAGGGGUCCUGAGAGGGAGAUCCCCCACACUGGUACUGAGACACGGACCAGACUCCUACGGGAGGCAGCAGUGAGGAAUAUUGGACAAUGGGCGCAAGCCUGAUCCAGCCAUGCCGCGUGCAGGAUGACGGUCCUAUGGAUUGUAAACUGCUUUUGUACGAGAAGAAACACUCCUNCGUGNAGGAGCUUGACGGUAUCGUAAGAAUAAGGAUCGGCUAACUCCGUGCCAGCAGCCGCGGUAAUACGGAGGAUCCAAGCGUUAUCCGGAAUCAUUGGGUUUAAAGGGUCCGUAGGCGGUUUAGUAAGUCAGUGGUGAAAGCCCAUCGCUCAACGGUGGAACGGCCAUUGAUACUGCUAAACUUGAAUUAUUAGGAAGUAACUAGAAUAUGUAGUGUAGCGGUGAAAUGCUUAGAGAUUACAUGGAAUACCAAUUGCGAAGGCAGGUUACUACUAAUGGAUUGACGCUGAUGGACGAAAGCGUGGGUAGCGAACAGGAUUAGAUACCCUGGUAGUCCACGCCGUAAACGAUGGAUACUAGCUGUUGGAAGCAAUUUCAGUGGCUAAGCGAAAGUGAUA
rnacentral:rRNA from 1 species